GACGGGUUAGUAACGCGUGGGAACGUGCCCUUCUCUAAGGAAUAGCCACUGGAAACGGUGAGUAAUACCUUAUACGCCCUUCGGGGGAAAGAUUUAUCGGAGAAGGAUCGGCCCGCGUUAGAUUAGAUAGUUGGUGGGGUAACGGCCUACCAAGUCUACGAUCUAUAGCUGGUUUUAGAGGAUGAUCAGCAACACUGGGACUGAGACACGGCCCAGACUCCUACGGGAGGCAGCAGUGGGGAAUCUUGGACAAUGGGGGCAACCCUGAUCCAGCCAUGCCGCGUGAGUGAUGAAGGCCUUAGGGUCGUAAAGCUCUUUCGCCUGUGAUGAUAAUGACAGUAGCAGGUAAAGAAACCCCGGCUAACUCCGUGCCAGCAGCCGCGGUAAUACGGAGGGGGUUAGCGUUGUUCGGAAUUACUGGGCGUAAAGCGCGCGUAGGCGGACCAGAAAGUUGGGGGUGAAAUCCCGGGGCUCAACCCCGGAACUGCCUCCAAAACUCCUGGUCUUGAGUUCGAGAGAGGUGAGUGGAAUUCCGAGUGUAGAGGUGAAAUUCGUAGAUAUUCGGAGGAACACCAGUGGCGAAGGCGGCUCACUGGCUCGAUACUGACGCUGAGGUGC
rnacentral:rRNA from 1 species